GGGACUCAAAUCACAUAAAACAAAACGCCAAAACCCACCUAAAAGGCUUUAAACCCUCCUUCCUUCUUAGGUUCGCUGCUACAUCAGUCUAAUUAUCUCUGAAAUUCAGCAGGUGACGUUGUCUCUUCGCGAAGCUUACCUCUGGAAAUGGAUGCUUUUCACUUUGACGAAAUCAUUAAGGUGGUGAAGGUGGAUGCUGAUGGCAAAAAGUAUGAAAAAGUUUCUCGCAUAGAAGCAGAAAGUAGUGAUGGUGCGACAU
rnacentral:misc_RNA from 1 species